CAUCAGUUCUGCUUUUGUGGGGAGAUAACAGCUCUAUAAAUUCAGGGAUACUCCACAUGCCUCACUUAAGACAUCAGUGACUUUGUUAACCCUCAUAUCUCUGGGUUCUGAGACAGCAGUCACACUUCUACCAUGAGAUUCCUGUAUUUUCUCUUCUUUGGUGUCUUUGUCCUGUCCCUGGCAACAUCAGGUGACACUGGAAUUCCAAGAAGAUCUCUGAAUUCCUGUAGUGUAUGUCCUCCUGCCACUUGUCAGUCAAGAUCAUUACCCUGCAAAAAAGCAAUUGAUGGUAUCUGUCCUAGUGGCAUGCAGUGCUGUGUGACUGGUUCAUCUCAAAAAGGAUGCUGAAGAGUCAUAUCUGCAUGGAAUAUAACCAGGUUCAAGCACAGAUGUUACUGCUUUGAAUAAAAAAAACACAGACUUCCUCUGA